UUACCGGACGAAUUUUCCUCUUUGGCACUUAAAUCGACGUUUCCUUUACUUUUUUUUUAAGCUCCUACUAAAGUAGAACGGGGAAAAAUUGUAUAAAAGAGGUAUUUUCUUUUAGCUCCCCCGGGGAGGCAACUUAUAAUUAAGUUUCCUACCCGGCGUGCGUAAUUUAUCGACUUAUUUUUUGUCGAUAAAGGACAAUCGUGAAAGGUUACAAUCAAAGAAGGUCCUCCUCUUUUCAGGUAAAACAACAGAAUAAAAACCUGUAGAAACUAGUUACCUUUGACCAGGAAGUAAUCUUUCUUUAUUAAUCGAACUAUAACUUUUCCUCUAUUCGCAGAGUGCUCUUUAGUUACGGAAGUAAAAUCUUUGAAAGUAAGGAUUUUAAAAAUUAAGAACAAACUUAAGAGUUGUAAAGUCCUUUACUUGAUGCUAUAUAUCUCUAUAAGUUUUGGUUAAAUUUUCCUCUAUUGAUCAUAUUUAAAUUAUAUUUAUUUAAUACCAUUUUGUUUUGGUUAUAAAUUGACCUUAGAUUUGUAAAACAGCCCCAUCUACGGCGGUGUCAUGCUCUUUUAAGGUUUUUUUAAAGUAUUUUCCCUUGUUAACACUCUUUGCUACUUUAGAGCUAAGUCCUGAUCAAGUAUUGCUUUAAACAGGUUUCCUCACAGUUGUGUGACCUACUCUCUUAUUGAAACUUAAAAACCAAGUUAGAUAACAACAAAGCUCUAGAGUUUGGUUAGUGCUCGAAGGAGCUUUUGACAGAACUUGCAGUCUUUAAGUCUACCUCUG